UACGGAGGGUGCAAGCGUUAUCCGGAUUCACUGGGCUUAAAGGGUGCGUAGGCGGGCAAGUAAGUCAGUGGUGAAAUCUCCGGGCUUAACCCGGAAACUGCCAUUGAUACUAUUUGUCUUGAAUACUGUGGAGGUCAGCGGAAUAUGUCAUGUAGCGGUGAAAUGCUUAGAUAUGACAUAGAACACCAAUUGCGAAGGCAGCUCACUACGCGAAUAUUGACACUGAGGCACGAAAGCGUGGGGAUCAAACAGG
rnacentral:rRNA from 1 species